AUAACGCAAAGGUAAACUUAUCGAAAGGUAAGGACACAAAGCCGUGGGUCUAACGUAACGUUUGUUACUAUGAUUGCCAGGUUGCCGAA
rnacentral:ncRNA from 1 species